GUGGGGAAUCUUGCGCAAUGGGCGAAAGCCUGACGCAGCCAUGCCGCGUGAAUGAUGAAGGUCUUAGGAUUGUAAAAUUCUUUCACCGGGGACGAUAAUGACGGUACCCGGAGAAGAAGCUCCGGCUAACUUCGUGCCAGCAGCCGCGGUAAUACGAAGGGGGCUAGCGUUGCUCGGAAUUACUGGGCGUAAAGGGCGCGUAGGCGGACAGCUUAGUCAGAGGUGAAAGCCCAGGGCUCAACCUCGGAACUGCCUUUGAUACUGGGUGUCUUGAGUAUGAGAGAGGUGUGUGGAACUCCGAGUGUAGAGGUGAAAUUCGUAGAUAUUCGGAAGAACACCAGUGGCGAAGGCGACACACUGGCUCAUUACUGACGCUGAGGCGCGAAAGCGUGGGGAGCAAACAGGAUUAGAUACCCUUGUAGUCC
rnacentral:rRNA from 1 species